GUUCUUCCUUUGGUAGCACGUAUACUAAAACUAGAACAAUACAGAGAUUAGCAUGGCCUCUGUGCAGUUAUGGCACACACAUUCAUGAAGCAUUGCAUAUUUUC
ensembl:snRNA U6 U6 spliceosomal RNA